UACGUAGGGGGCAAGCGUUGUCCGGAAUUAUUGGGCGUAAAGCGCGCGCAGGCGGUCAUUUAAGUCUGGUGUUUAAGCCCGGGGCUCAACCCCGGUUCGCAUCGGAAACUGGAUGACUUGAGUGUAGGAGAGGAAAGUGGAAUUCCACGUGUAGCGGUGAAAUGCGUAGAGAUGUGGAGGAACACCAGUGGCGAAGGCGGCUUCCUGGCCUGUUCUUGACGCUGAGGCGCGAAAGCUAGGGGAGCAAACGGG
rnacentral:rRNA from 1 species